rnacentral:rRNA from 1 species
AGAUUGAACGCUGGCGGCAGGCCUAACACAUGCAAGUCGAGCGGUAGAGAGGUGCUUGCACCUCUUGAGAGCGGCGGACGGGUGAGUAAUGCCUAGGAAUCUGCCUAGUGGUGGGGGAUAACGUUCGGAAACGGACGCUAAUACCGCAUACGUCCUACGGGAGAAAGCGGGGGACCUUCGGGCCUCGCGCCAUUAGAUGAGCCUAGGUCGGAUUAGCUAGUUGGUGAGGUAAUGGCUCACCAAGGCGACGAUCCGUAACUGGUCUGAGAGGAUGAUCAGUCACACUGGAACUGGAGACACGGUCCAGACUCCGUACGGGAGCAGCAGGUGGGGAAUAGUUGGACAAGU